GGGGACCCAGAGGGGAAGGCACUGACCACAACGUGCCCAACCAGUAGCCUUGCCUCCCGCGGUCAUUAACCUUGCUGGGAAAGGCAAGGGAAGCUCCCCGGCAAGGCUUGUCAUUCAGGGAAUGUGAGCCACGCCAAGAGCCCACUGCAGUUUCCGGCAAGCUGCUCCUCCGCCGCGAAGUGGGAUUAAAAGAGCCGAGUCCCCUUGCCGUGCGCUCAUCCGCCGACAUGAGAUUCCCGCAGCUCCUUUUGAGCUGGGUGUUGCUGCUGACCGGGUUGCUUCUGGUCAAUGGACAGAGGCCAGCUAACUUGGCCAACAGACGAAAACUACACAGACAUCACUGUUCCCACAGGAGAUGCAUGCCCCUUCAUUCCAGAGUGCCCUUCCCUUGAGGUAUUUCCCAGGGCUGGGAUUAAAUUUAGACAAGGAACAAUCAACACUGAUCUGUUUCUUCAAAAUGUUGAGAAAAAGAAUUAAGCACAGAAGUCCAGAUGACAUUUUGGUAAUGGCACAGUUAUAAUCUGCAGAGAUACCCCAUAAGCCAUCAUCAGGAAACAUAGAGAAAUCAUAUGAGAAAACUGUUGGAACAAGUUUUCCUGGAGCUUGGGGAUUCUUUCAAGAAGGAAGAAACAAUUAUCAACCAAAAGAGCUUAUCUAGCAGUACUGGAGAAUCAUCGAUGCAGUAUACUCACCACUUUUCUUGGCAUGUCAACAUAGCAAUCUUGUAGCCAGAAAGCAAACAUUGCAAUGUUAGACAAAUUAUGUCCUUGAAAAAGCUUUGGCUAUAUUAAGUGUCUCUUACUCGUGUAUCUUUUAACACUCUUAUUAAAAAUAUGCAAGAAUGAACUUAAUAUUUGAUAAACAGUAUUACUGCUUAAAGCCACAAUUAUUUAAUUAGUUUCACUAUUGCUUGAAGACCAGGUUGCUUUGUUUUAUUCCUGUUGUGUUCAAAAAUUUCUCAGGCCAGCACUCCUUAGUAUCGCGGCCUACCAUUCCAGAAUUUCCAACUGCAGCAUGUCAGCAAAUGCCAGGUUAGAUAAUCUGGCUAUUUUUGAAAGAGGAAAUACUCAAAUAUUAACUAAAAUUAACAAAAAAAUCUUACAAGCAUGUUUGAACCUUAAAAAUCACUUAUACCAGUGGAAAUGAACUGGGUGAUAAGGCUUUGUGUGAUCAGAUACUUAUCAAUAUUGUAAUGUAUAUCUUGCCAUAAAGUAGUCCUUGAUAAUUUGUACCCUUCUUUUCCCCAAAAUAAGACAUCCCCUGAUAAUAAGCCCAAUCGGACUUUUGAGCACAUGGCAAUAAGGCCAAGCGCUUAUUUCAGGGUUCAAAAAAAAUAAAACAAGAUAGGAUCUUAUUUUCGGGGAAACACGGUAGCAAUUUUAACACUACAAUCAAUUUAGAUCAUAUAUUGUAAUUCAAUAAUUUCUUAAAGCAUGUUUGUAACUGUAUAUGUUGUACAAAACGUAUUUCAAAUAGUACUGUCACAUUAAAUAUUCAUGUAUCUUUUCACAUUUUUGUAUGCUGUAUAUUGAAAUCAUCCACUUUCAGAGAGACGUGAAAUCUUUGCUUCAUUUUUUUUUUUAUUUACAUAAGGGAUCAAUAUAAACAGUAAUGAUAUACUGUAUCUACCUAAGUAAAAUAUACAUUAAACUAUUCUUUUUUAAAAUGUUAAGCCAAAACUAUUACUAGAAUAAUCAGAUAAUGGCACAUUAAAGAAAUUGUAGAUUUCCAGUUCUACCAGAAUAAAAAUUAUACACCUUUCUUUGGAGAGAACUACUGAAAUUAAAGAUCAAUAUUUUUAA